CGUAAAGCGCAUGCAGGUGGUUUGUUUAAGUUCAGAUGUGAAAGACCCGGGGCGUUAACCUCGGAAUAGCAUUUGAAACUAGGCAGACUAGAGUACUGUAGAGGGGGGUAGGAAUUUCAGGUGUAGCGGUGAAAUAGCGUAGAGAUCUGAAGGAAUACCGGUGGCGAAGGCGGCCCCCUCGGACAGAUACUGACACUCAGAUGCGAAAGCGUGGGGAGCAAACAGGAUUAGAUACCCUGGUAG
rnacentral:rRNA from 1 species